UUACACUAAUCGUAACGUGAUCAAACCCUUCACGUAUUCCACCACCCGUAUUCGUACUUUAUUUUUUUUUUCCACUUUCAAGCAGAUUUAAUUAAUGAAGAGAGAUCUCAAAAGGAAAUCCAACACUCCAUGUUCCGGCAAGACUUUAGAAGGAUAUCGAUUUUCGUCAUGCGAAAUGAAACAAACACAUAACCGUAUUUGAACCAAAACGACGCCGUAUCGCUGCAGAGCUUCACCAUCUCGAUUCGAAACCCUACCAUGGCGAAUCCACAAGAGCACGGUCGUCCAUGGUUCCUCUAUGCAGUUCCCUUAAUGGUUUUUCUUUUAAUAGCAUUUCACGUCCUCGCCUUGGUGUAUUGGAUUUAUAGAUUGUCCACGGAUACUAAACCACAGCAGCAGCUACAGCAGCAACAACAGCAACAAAGGAGAAAGGCUCACUGAACAACAGUAAUUUACUCCUUUGGUUUCAAUUUCUGUAACCUACUUAAUUUCCUCAAAUAAUUGUUGUUUUGAAAGGAAAAUGUGUGAAAAUUUGUCAGUGCUGUUAAAUAGAAGCUAUAGUGUAGUGAAUUUGAACAAAUCGAUGUUGUUCUGUGAUAUGAUAUAUAGUACAAAAUGUUGUCAAAUAAUGACUAUAGUUGCGCUAUAGCAAUGUUGUGUAGUGGAAUUUGAACAAUACGCCAUUUUCUGCGAUUUGCAAUUGAUAACACUGAAUUUGCUUCGUGGUCUUG